rnacentral:rRNA from 1 species
UACGGGGGGGGCAAGCGUUGUUCGGAAUUACUGGGCGUAAAGGGUUCGUAGGUGGCCAACUCAGUCAGACGUGAAAUCCCUCAGCUUAACUGGGGAACUGCGUCUGAUACUAGAUGGCUCGAGUGCAGGAGAGGAACGCGGAAUUCCAGGUGUAGCGGUGAAAUGCGUAGAUAUCUGGAGGAACACCGGUGGCGAAGGCGGCGUUCUGGACUGCAACUGACACUGAUGAGCGAAAGCCAGGGGAGCAAACGGG